GUAGGUGGCAAGCGUUGUCCGGAAUUAUUGGGCGUAAAGCGCGCGCAGGCGGUCCUUUAAGUCUGAUGUGAAAGCCCACGGCUCAACCGUGGAGGGUCAUUGGAAACUGGGGGACUUGAGUACAGAAGAGGAAAGCGGAAUUCCACGUGUAGCGGUGAAAUGCGUAGAGAUGUGGAGGAACAUCAGUGGCGAAGGCGGCUUUCUGGUCUGUAACUGACGCUGAGGCGCGAAAGCGUGGGGAGCAAACAGGGAUUAGAUACCCUGGUAGUCCACGCCGUAAACGAUGAGUGCUAAGUGUUAGGGGGUUUCCGCCCCCUUAGUGCUGCAGCUAACGCAUUAAGCACUCCGCCUGGGGAUACGGCCGCAAGGCUG
rnacentral:rRNA from 1 species